rnacentral:rRNA from 1 species
UACGGCCGCAAGGUUAAAACUCAAAUGAAUUGACGGGGGCCCGCACAAGCGGUGGAGCAUGUGGUUUAAUUCGAUGCAACGCGAAGAACCUUACCUGGUCUUGACAUCCACAGAACUUUCCAGAGAUGGAUUGGUGCCUUCGGGAACUGUGAGACAGGUGCUGCAUGGCUGUCGUCAGCUCGUGUUGUGAAAUGUUGGGUUAAGUCCCGCAACGAGCGCAACCCUUAUCCUUUGUUGCCAGCGGUCCGGCCGGGAACUCAAAGGAGACUGCCAGUGAUAAACUGGAGGAAGGUGGGGAUGACGUCAAGUCAUCAUGGCCCUUACGACCAGGGCUACACACGUGCUACAAUGGCGCAUACAAAGAGAAGCGACCUCGCGAGAG